rnacentral:misc_RNA from 1 species
GCGAGAUUCCUAAUGGUUCAAGGAAGGGGAUACCUUAUAUUGCUGGAAAGAAAAAGGUGGCUGCUUGCGCAAAGCACUUUGUUGGUGAUGGGGGCACAACUAAGGGUGUUAAUGAGAAUAACACUGUGACUGACAAGCAUGAGUUGCUGAGUAUCCACAUGCCCGCCUAUGACGACUCAAUUAUUAAAGGUGUUGCUACGGUUAUGGCUUCUUAUUCUAGCUGGAAUGGCAG